rnacentral:lncRNA from 10 species
GCUUCUUUGACUAGCAGAGCCACUGUGGCAGUGGCUUGCAGACAUGUGUAAAUAAUAGGUCCUCCUAACUGCAACUAAGGGGUUGAGAAAGAUACUGGAUUAGAAUUUUUCCUGAGAUGCCCUUUAUGGUCGUGCCUUGGGAAGAAGGGAGGCCUGGAUUAGAGAGAAGAAAGAUACUGGCUGCAGUCUUUAGAAGGAGGUCUAUCUUCCUUCUUUCAAUUCCUAGAAUCAUGUGAGGCUCUUGUGCUGUAAUGGCAGUUUAAGCUGCUGGAGCCUGGGGUUUGAGCGCCAGGACCCAUUAGUCCUGUUGGACCAUUUGUGAGACUGCUUCUGAACCCAGUGACCUCUGUCUUUGGGGGCAGUUUGAUCUCCAGUGGUCUCCACCACAGGCUGGACAGGGUUGAGAUGGCUUCUUUUUGCUGUUUUGGAACUCCUUUUUAAAGUGCCCUGGCUGCCACACCGAUAGCAAUGAGCAGAUGCACCUCAGGGAUCCUGGACUUUGCAAGCCUGCAAAGCAGGGCCUGAGGAUAUUCUGCAUUCAGUUGAUGGACAAUCAAGGUGCAUAAAGCAUGUGCAUAUCUCUGUCUCCUCUGCCUGGAAUGAUGCACAACAUGUUCUCCAUUUUUCCUUUGGUGAGAAAUAGUCAUAUGGCCCCAUAGCGAUGCAGUACAAGCUGGGAAAUAUUGUCUCUGGCUGAAAAACUGCUCACCAGCAGUAGCUAUACUCUACUAAGGGGAAUAUGAAUCUUUGAUGGACACCUAGCCAUCUCUGUCACACUGCCUUUCUUGCCACCCAGUAGACAUCCAAACUCUUUCUUGUUCUACACAAAAUUCAAUCUUCUGCUUUUUGAGUGAAACAACCGUAAGUGUCAUACAGCUGCUGCAUCCAGUGAAGAGUCAGAAUCUCUAGGUGAUGAAUGGUUCACUCUAGCAGCAGUGAAUAUGGCUCCCUGUGCUCUGAAAAUAUAUGAACUAAAAGAAAAGUUGUCUGUCUACUCCACCCUCCACCGCCAGCAUCCAACACACAGAGGUAGAGCGGGGACAAAGAAGUACAAUAAAAGCUCACAUUCUAAAAAGAAAAGCAAGGGACAUAUGGCAGUCACUGGUCCACAGUAACGAUGAAAACUUGAAGGGUAGGCACUGUGAGAUUGUUUAAUCAGGUAAGGGGAGAAUUUCUUAAUUCGUCUCUGAUUCUACCUUCCAGGAAGAACUCAUUUGUUCAUUGUUCUAUUUGGCCACUGUCUCCAUGGAUCAGAACUAUCUUCUGGGAUGUUCUGUCUUGUCUAUUAUAUUGAUGGCCACAUCUGAAGUGGAUUUUAGAAUAUGUGCCCCUACUUGGGGUGUACUUUCACAGUCUUUUUUCCUGUUUGUGCAAGUUUGAGAGCACAGUGACUGUUUGAAGGCUCAAAGAUAAGCUACUAGUUUCCUUAGCAAUAUAAUUUCUCAACACUUUGUAGGCUUCUCAUCUAUUUGUUUCUGUUUCCAUGUACUAUAACCCCAUCCAAAUUUCUUUUUAAGACAGUAUUUCUCAGGUCAGCUUUUUAAAAUCUUUUCCUGCCCAUUGCUUCUCUCUUUUAACUUGAUAGUGACUACUUUGAGGCAAUCUGAAAAAAUAUGAUUCAAUAGCAAAUCCAUAUCAUUAAUGAACCUCCAUUGCUCAAGAUUUAUCAAUCAUAAGACUGUUUGGUGUCUGCAGCAGUAGUGGUUUUUUGUUUGUUUGUUUCCCCAAUCCAGAAAGGUCCUAAAUUUCUCCUGCUCACAUUUAGUUUUGCUUGCAAAAUGGUCAAUUUUCAUCUAAGCAUAUCUCUUUCUUUUACUACCCUGCUAAACACCACAAUUAAUAAUCAACUAAAAUUGCUAACACACCUUUCCAAAUAUUUUCCCCUAGAGCAGAGGUUCUUAACUUUUUUUCCCCAUGAACCCCUUUGGUAGUCUACAGAAUCCUAUCAACUUGUUCUCAGAAUUUAAGAAAAUAUAUAAAGUAAAACACAGAAGAUAAAAUAGAAAAAUAAAUGAUAUAGAAAUAUGACUAUAAGCAUAUUUAAAAAUGCAUAAUAUAAUAUACUUGCUACUUUAUUACUACAUCUAAUAAAACAAAAUACUUUUUAAAAAGGCAAGUUAAAGUAAAUUUCUUUUCAAUAUAUUCAUGUAAGUUUUUCUUACUUGGCUUAGAUAAGAGCAUUAAACAGCAGGUUGGCUUCUGUUUCAUCUCUUUCCACAUAUAGGAAACAAUUUGUGGAAAACUGUAUACUGCCUACAUAUGAAAAAUCCUUCCAGGUUAUCUGAUUCUAGCCUUUCAUUGUUUUUCAGUUAUUUUAUAAUUCUUAAGUUACAGUAACUGAUAAACAUGUGUAAAAUCUGUCCUAGACAUUUAAUUGACUUUUACAGCCUCCCUCCUCUCCCACAGAAAGCAUUUUUGCUGUCAUUUUCAAUUUCCUUUUACUUCAUACACAUUGUGAUUUUUGGACGUUUUAUUUGAAUUGAUUAUAACAUCUGCACAGUUCCCCCAUUGACUGCACAGCUCCUCCAUUGAAUAAGUAUAAUAAAUUAUUUACCAAGAGUUCAACUUUAUAUCUGUAUGAGAGUCAUAAUUUUACCUUUUUCUGGAAAAUUAUCUUUGACACAUAUAAUGGUCCAACAAAUAAUUAUAGAGAGCAAACAUUAGAAAGCAACAUGGAUAUCUAUGUCAUAAAUAAAUAUACACAGCUUACAAGGUAAAAAAAAAAUGCCCUAUGAGGCUACAUGGGGUGCCAGAGAAAGAAAGACACUUGACCUGGAAGUGACACAUACCACCGUAUUGUACAUUCCAUUGGUCAGAGCUAAUUAUAUGAUCUCACCUAGAUGAAACAGAGGUUAAGAAAUGAAAUCUCUGAGCGGGCAGCUACUUAGUAGCAACAUCUCGUGAUAGAAGGAGAGGAAGAGUAUUUAGUGAGCAGUUAAUGUCUUGACCAAGAAUAUGUAGCAGACACUUAGUGGUCUUUGCCGCAUGUCAUUAGCAAACAUUUCAAACAUAAUGCAAGCCACCUGAGAGCUCAUGGUGCUUGCAUUCAGUAAGACAAAUGCUGUUUCAAGGCUGGUAAAUAUUUUCUUAAAAGACCUCCUCAUUUUCUCACUUUAAAAAUUACUAAUUUUGUCCAGCCUCAAUCACUAUCAAAGUAUUAAAAGCUUUUUAUUACAUUUCAGUAUAAAAGUUUACAGAAAGAAAGGCAUAUAGGUAUGAACAAUUCUUAAUAAAUUUGUGUUAUAAUUAUAGAGUAAGCCAUGACAACAUAGCCAACUGUGAAAUAUGCAUAAUCUUUGCAGUUUUAUUUUUAGAGAAAUCUUUCAAACUAUGAAAAUGAGUAGCAAUGAGUCCCAGGUUGCAUCAUCAUUCAGAGCCAUAACUAAAAAUCAUGUAAGAAAAAUUUUCUUAUCUAGAUUGCUUUUAAAAAAUAUACUAAAUAUAUUUUUCUUUAAUUGUAUAUGCCUGCUUUGGAAUAUACUAUUUCCCCUAGUUUAAAGUUGGUUUUCUGCCUUAAAUGCCGUUCCCUAGCCCAUAAUAUUGACUGUAAAUAAAAUUAUAUGUAAUUGUGGCAAUUAUUUUUUGAAUUUGAAGUUUGGAAUUUUACUUUGAAAGUAUUUAUCAUAAACUUGAAUUUAAAGGGGUAUAUUUGUGUGUCUGGGUGAAACCGACCCAAUUUUUCCAUAAAACUGACAU